rnacentral:ribozyme from 1 species
UUCUUGUUCUUCUUUCUUUUCUUUUCUCUUUUCUGUUUUUUUUUUUGUGGAGGAUCGAUAGAAGAGGAGAGAGAGAAUAUGUCGGGCGGAAAGAAAGAGGAGCUGAAUCCUAAAACUACUGAAUAUGAAUUUAU